rnacentral:rRNA from 1 species
GAUGAACGCUGGCGGCGUGCCUAAUACAUGCAAGUCGAACGAACAGACGAGGAGCUUGCUCCUCUGCCGUUAGCGGCGGACGGAUGAGUAACACGUGGAUCACAUUCUUAUAUGACUUGGAUAACUUCGGAAAACAGGAGAUACUAACAGCUCAUAUAUCGAACCGCAUGGUUCAAUAGUUAAAGGCGGUUUUGCCGUCUCUUUUAGCCGGAUUCGGGUCGCCUUAGCUACUUGGUAAGGUAACGGCUAACCAAGGCACCGAUGCGUAGCCGACCUGAGAGAGGGAUCGGCCACACUGGAACUGAGACACGGCCCAGAUCCCUAGGGGAGGCAGCAGUAGGAAAUCUGGCGCAAGGGGCGAAAGCCGGACGAAGCAACGCCGGGGGGUGAAGGAGGCUCUUCGGUUCGUAAAACUCUGUGUUGAGAAAAAAACGAAGGUGGAAGUAACUAUGCUCUUCUGAACGGUACCAAAGCAUAAAGCCACGGCUAACUACGU